AAAUAGAUACCCGUGGUAGUCCACGCCGUAAACGUUGGGCGCUAGAUGUGGGGGACCUUUCCACGGUUUCCGUGUCGUAGCUAACGCAUUAAGCGCCCCGCCUGGGGAGUACGGCCGCAAGGCUAAAACUCAAAGGAAUUGACGGGGGCCCGCACAAGCGGCGGAGCAUGCGGAUUAAUUCGAUGCAACGCGAAGAACCUUACCAAGGCUUGACAUACACGAGAACGGGCCAGAAAUGGUCAACUCUUUGGACACUCGUGAACAGGUGGUGCAUGGUUGUCGUCAGCUCGUGUCGUGAGAUGUUGGGUUAAGUCCCGCAACGAGCGCAACCCUCGUCGCAUGUUGCCAGCACGUUAUGGUGGGGACUCAUGUGAGACUGCCGGGGUCAACUCGGAGGAAGGUGGGGAUGACGUCAAAUCAUCAUGCCCCUUAUGUCUUGGGCUUCACGCAUGCUACAAUGGCCGGUACAAAGGGCUGCGAUGUCGUAAGGCGGAGCGAAUCCCAAAAAGCCGGUCUCGAGUUCGGAUUGAGGUCUGCGUAACC
rnacentral:rRNA from 1 species